GGAAGUCAAUACUUGUUCACAAUACAUAAAGAUUCCAAAUAAUAAAGAAAAUAACACUAACUAACCUGAAAAUUAAAUCUAUCUCUUAAACUCAUUUAUAUUCAAAGGUAGGUGGGUUAGGAGCAUCAAAGCUCUCUAAAACCUGUGUCUUGCUACCACCGUUUGGCGCAGUCUCCUCUUUCUUUCCACCUCCAAAAAGCCCUCCAAACCAGGAUGUCGAGGAAGAAGAGGCUGGCGCUGAAGAUUCUGUCAUCAUACCAUCAAUACUUACUGGAGCUUGACCAGGAAGCUGCCUCAUUGGUUGACCAGGCAACUGCCCAGGUGGAUAUCCAGGCACCCCAGGGACAUUUGGUAGUGGGUCAUCCAUGGGUGGGAAAUUCUGGGGUGCACUCAUGACUUUAUUUAACAUGAUUCCAGCUCCCUCUAUCAACGCA
rnacentral:misc_RNA from 1 species